rnacentral:rRNA from 1 species
GACGAACGCUGGCGGCGUGCUUAACACAUGCAAGUCGAACGGAAAGGCCCUGCUUGCAGGGUACUCGAGUGGCGAACGGGUGAGUAACACGUGGGUGAUCUGCCCUGCACUUCGGGAUAAGCCUGGGAAACUGGGUCUAAUACCGGAUAGGAGCCAUUUUUAGUGUGAUGGUUGGAAAGUUUUUUCGGUGUAGGAUGAGCUCGCGGCCUAUCAGCUUGUUGGUGGGGUAAUGGCCUACCAAGGCGGCGACGGGUAGCCGGCCUGAGAGGGUGGACGGCCACAUUGGGACUGAGAUACGGCCCAGACUCCUACGGGAGGGAGCAGUGGGGAAUAUUGCACAAUGGGCGCAAGCCUGAUGAAGCGACGCCGCGUGGGGGAUGACGGCCUUCGGGUUGUAAACUCCUUUCGCUAGGGACGAAGCUUUUUGUGACGGUACCUAGAUAAGAAGCACCGGCUAACUACGUG